rnacentral:tRNA from 1 species
GCGGGAAUGGCGGAAUUGGCAGACGCGCUAGUUUCAGGUAUUAGUGCCAUUACUGGCAUGCAGGUUCAAGUCCUGUUUCCCGCACCA